rnacentral:rRNA from 1 species
AAGUCGGUUGUGAAAGCCUUCCGCUCAACGGAAGAACGGCAUCCGAUACUGCAUGGCUUGAGUGUGGGAGGGGAGAGUGGAACUUCUGGUGGAGCGGUGAAAUGCGUAGAUAUCAGAAGGAACACCGGCGGCGAAGGCGACUCUCUGGUCCAUAACUGACGCUGAGUGUGCGAAAGCUAGGGGAGCAAACGGGAUUAGAUACCCCGGUAGUCCUAGCCGUAAACGAC